GGAAAUGAAUUCGGUCAGACUCGUUGAACUCGCUGCAUCCAUGGUCUGGUCAGAUCGUUCUGUAACAAUACAGAGGCGGAUGCAAGAUGCAAGCAACAAUGGUUUAAUGAAUACAGGUUACAGCAGCAACAGGACAGACAGACUGUACUCAGACGGAAUCCGACCCGGGGACUAGGGCGCAUCCUCCUAUGUGAGCGUGCUGAGAAACCCAGGUGAGAGUGUCCGGAUGGGUAGGAAGGAGCACAGCAGAAUAAUCCACACAAGGGCGGCGAGAGAUGAGUACGGACACACGACACAACCUCAGGGAAGUAACAACGAUCUGACAACAAGAAACACUGGUUACAGAACAUAUAAAGGGAAGAUAAGUGAUUCCAGCUGGCGCAGACAAUCAGGCCGAGAUUGGGAACCACGCCCACACAAACACGGGAGAGAGAGAGAGAGAGAGAAAAGGAAAAGGAGGCAGUGGAUUCAUGAACCGUGACACCCAGAGGCUUGGGGACCAUAGAUGACCCCUGGUGACAGCUAGCUGAAAGAGCUACCCAGAUUCAUAUCGCACGGCGGAAAGGUAAGUCACUUUUUCACUGUCGGACAUUAAAACAGUGUUCGAGAGAAGAACUGAAAUUAACAGAAUUCCGGGGGCCAACUCUCGAAUGAAGUAACCCUACCUGUCCUAUCACCCCUGUUUUUGUUCAUAGAAGUGAAGAUGUGUCUGGCUCUGGCUAAGUGAUGUGUAUUUUGUUCCAAAAUGAGCAUAAGAGAUCCCUAGAUCGGGGUAGACAAGAAGUUAGAGUAGAGAUUACAUGAUAACCGACUUCGGACAGUUCUAGGAUUGGAGAAGAGGGUAUCCUUAUAGCAAGGGGGAUCCCACAAGGGUGGAUAGGUUUUCCAUGAUAUGGGGAAACCUGGGAGCAAUGUUGAACUUUGUAAAGGUGAUGAAAUCCUACUAACCAUCAAAACUAUUAAGCUCUCUGAUGCAGGCACUCACACCCUCGGACUACAAAGGACGAGGACAGACAUGAUGGGUGUGUUUUCUAUUAAGGUACUGCCAAGACCAGAGGUAACCGGACACACUCCUCUACCACCACUGUGUUAAAAAUACCAUUCAGGUAAUUAAUGUUAGAGACUAUUCGGCUAUUGAUCAAUUAGGAACUGAGACUGGUUUUGAUAGUAGGGACAAUUUGUGGCUGUCUUAUAUGAGGUACACAGCUAAAACCCUGAGAGGAAAGGACUGCAUUAUUUGUAGUCAUGCUAGACCUGUUCUGGCUACACACCCAUUUGCUGUAGGAGAAGGAGAGGGGUGGUUGUGUAUUCUGAGAAGUUUUUACCAGGUUAAGCCCAAUUCAACCCUCUGUUCCUCUUUGAGCCUUGUGUUUCCUGCAGUACCUCCUCAUCGGGCCUCUUGGGGUGUUGAGGCAUAUGGGGGCAAUUAAGAGUGCAUCACGGGUACAGGUAAUGGCAUUGAUUAUGGGGGAUUGCCUGAAGCUGAUUGCAGUAGUAACAUAACCAUUAAUUCCACUUGGCCAGUUACAGGCUGAUGUGAGGUGGAUGAGUGGAGCCAAGAGUGCUGAGACCCAUUCUUAGAGGAGAAUGGCAAGGUACGUGUGCUCUGACCAGUUUGAUAAUUCCACUGACCAUUGUUGAUGUUACUGCUGAACAGCUGUUGGGUUCUGUAUCCAAGGGACCUGAAAACAUUCCAUCCCAUGGGAGACAUAGACGUAGCGCUCAGAGAAUGUAGUUGACAUAAACACUAACCUGUUGGGUGUGCCAGUGGGGGUUCCUCAUGAGUUUCAGGCCUUGGGUAGGAAUGAUGGACUCUGGCACUUACUACCUACUAUGGGUCCAGCCAUGGUGGAUGCUAGACAGACUGCAUGGAUUAAUUAUAUCUACUAUAAUCAACAGCGUUUUGUGAAUUACUCCCGUGAUGCACUCACUGGUAUGUCUGAACAGCUUGAGGCCACAUUUGGGGUUUCCAGACAGAAUAGACUUGCCUUGGAUAUGCUUCUUGCCAGUCAGGGGGACGUUUGCAAGAUGUUCGGUAAACAAUGUUGCACGUAUAUUCCUAAUAAUACCAGUCCAGAUGAUAUCUAGGGCGGGCUUGAUGCACUAUCUGAUAAGAUGAGGUCCACAGGGGGGGUGGAGGAGUCUGUUCUCUUGGCCUGGUUUGGUAAGUACACUGAUAUGAUGGUUACUGGAUUUCUGACCCUAGUUCUUGUAUUAUUUGUUAUUGAUGUGAUGUGCUGCUUGCAUCAUACCGUGUUCUAAGAAAUAUGUUACAGAUAUGGUGAAGGCUUCAGGCAUGUUGCCUUUGCUUGAUGCUCCAGUUGGAGAUGCCGAUCUGGGAAGCAUGCUUUCAGGAGAGGAUGGGACUGACUGAGGAUGACCCAUGGUAUGCUGUGGGUGAGGUAGUAGAAUAAUUUUACACCACCACAGUUCCUUGUUAUAAAUUUUUAUGAUAGGUUUUCUUUCCAGUAUGUUUGUUCUCCCUGUUGUAAAGGUUUAGAGUCCCUGGGUGGCAAUGAGCCCACCUGGUACAGGAUAGGAGUAGCUGAGAGGACCAGAUGGUUUCUAAUAAUUCUUUCCUCUGUUUUCCAUGACCAAAGUUUUAUCCUACAUCUUACAUGUCAAUAACAAUAAAGUUUUAUCCUGUUUUUGAUAAGUGACACCCUUGUGGGUGUCAAAAGGGGGAAACGCAUAUAACAAUAGACAUAUAUCACUUGUUAUUAAUAAUAAACUUUUUAUUAUUUUCAUGAAAUGCUAUGACUGCUGAAAUAAAGGAUAAUGAGUGUCAAAAGGGGGACUUAAAUUUCACACCCUUGGGGUUAUUUUACAUUAUAGCCAUUACCAUAUAUAUUAUCUGCUGUUGCCUUGGGUGGAUGUGUGUAUGUGUUAUGUUCUCUAGCUGAUUUGAAACAUUGUUGAAAGUAUCAGGGCCAUGGAACUUUCUCAUGCUGGGAAAAUACAGAAGGGAGGGCACAUUCAGAGCGUGGGGUUGCGAGAACAAGCAGUCUUUUGUUAGAUAACAGGAGCCAGGUGCGAGAUAACGGUAUGGAGCAUGAGACCCAUCUUUUAGUUUUUGCAGCCAUUUUAGUGUUGUGCGGCUGCGGUUGCAUUCCAUGUAUCCGGUCCCUUACUGCUAGAGUUAUCUCCAGAGCUAUUGACCCUUCUUCCCCUUCCCAGAUGUAUCCUCUGCUUGCUAAUGACCUGCCAGAGUUUGAGGAUGAGGUGGAGAAUACCCUUUAGAGAGUGUCACAUCUCUUUGGAGAUGUGAAGAGAGGGUAUCACAACUUUUUCCUGCUGGAAAAGGUUGGCUUAUGUGGACAAACAUUUUACUUAUAGCUUAGAGCUGUUGUUCUCCGCAAUUGUUAAAUGAGGGUUGUAAGUUCCUAGGUGGCUGGUAGCCAACUUAGUACAUAGUGGGAUUGAGUGGAUAACUUGGUGGUAAUACAUAUACAUCCAUUUCUUUUUAAUGUUGUGCCUUUUUCAUAGCCCCUUUGGGAAAAGUUUUCUUUUGUAUCAGAAUCUAGUUAGGUUGUGUCACGUCUCUGGGGAGACGUGAAGAGAGGGAUUUGUAGAGGACUGCUAAUUCCUAUGUAGGUGACAUUACACUACUAUAGCUGAGACACAUAGUAAAACAGGUUGGGCCCCAUACAGGAUAUCUCUCACACACACACACUCACUGUAAUCAUCCAGAACACUGUCACAACAGGAUACUCCUAGCCACAGGUGCUAGCCGGCAGUUCGGCCACAACUCCCCUGAAGAUAGGGACGCAUACGCUCUUACACACUGACCCCAGAAGACAGGGACGACGCACAUACAGUACACACAUAGCUGCCGAGGACACCCAGAUAAGACACCCACAGAUUGGCAGAAAGCCUAGACUUAGAGACAAACUAACACACACACAUAAUCUCCCUCCCAGCCGAACAUUGUGUGACUGAAGAUAGCGCACACACCAGAUCUCCUUUUCAGCUGAACAGGGUGUGACGACCAAGAACAGGCAUGGCAGGAUUCUACGAUGACGGACAGACAACAGAGCCAAUGCCGGAUGACUACACCCCAGCCUGAUCCAAUCCGAAGAUCCGAUCUCCUAGAUAUCAACCUACUUUCUGUUCUGUAUAUUAAGCUUGUACCCAUUGUUAGCUAGUGUCUUUUUUGCUAGUCUCUGAUGAGCUAACAGAGGGGCCCGUAUAUACGCUGUACCAGAUAUCUCCACUUUGAAAUAAACCUGUCGCUUGUCGUACAAUCUAC